GUAAGUGGUUAAUUUAGGUGGGAUUGUGAGAUGGGAAAGAAAAGGUCUUAGCCUGAUUGGCUUCCUGCUGGAUGGAAGGUGGAAUUCAUAAAGGAAAGAAAGAAAGUGGUAUAGUGAUCCCUCAAAAGAACUCAAAUUCAACUAUAAGGCGGAUCUCAGCAGUGUUGGCAGUAAUUGUUCUAAGAGUUCUAAUACGAAGGAGAUGGAAAAGAAAGAUACUGGAAAGUUUUCAACUGAGAAGGCUACAUCAGAAGGGUUACCACCAAGAUGGAUUAAGGAAAUGAGGGUCAGGAGAAAGGGGCAUAAAAUCAAGAAAGAUCCGUAUUAUAUCGACCCCAUCAGUGGACAAAUUUUCCGCUUUAUGAAGGAAGUUUCUCGGUUCCUUGAAACUAGAGAGUUAGGAAGAUUUGACUCCCAAGCCUGAGGAUCAGUGUCCUGACACUUCAAAACUGGGAGAACCUUUUUCUUCUUUGACUGCUGAAGCUGACAAGCAUAUAUCGCUAGACCGCGAUGCAUCUGGCAAGGAAGUUAAUUCGAAUCAUAAGCUGAAGUUGGGUGCUGAACAUAUGGCGCAUUCCAGUUGUGUAGAAGGCAUAUAUCAUCCUUUGAAGGUAUUACUCACUAUUCGAAAGUUCUAGUGUUUCAGUUUGAUAUGGAGUAUUUAAUGCUUUAUUUAUGCUCUUAUGUCAUCUAUUUAUUGUAAGUUUCCUUCCAUUCCUCUCUUACAAAUUUCCUGAUGAAUUCAAAAACUAGUUUACUGCUGUAAUUCUUGGGGGGAAAGCUUUUAAUAUGAGAAAUUCUUUUGAUACUGCAGUCUCUACAAUCAUCAAAAGAUAUUAUAUCAUGUCAUCAAAAUCCUAAUACAGGCUUUCUUUUAAAGAAAAAAGAAAACUUAGUUUAGGCAUGUCACACGUUUCUUAGUAGUUUACCAAAAUGAAUAUUUUUAAUUUGGAAGUGAGAAAUAUUUAAGGUUUAGGAGGUGCUGUACCAUAGAAUGCGGAAGAGGAGGAUGAUGGUAAAGUUGUUUCAGAUCCUGUAAGUGGAGAAAAUCAAGAAAAGCCAUCACGAGAUGGAGUGGAAAAGCAUGACCAGGAAACAAUCCACUGUAAAAGAAAAAAGAGUAUGAACUUGCCUCGCAGAAAUCAAAACGGCUUGCUGGUAUUAAAGCUAAUACAUCUCUUUAGCUCCGAACAAAUAAUCAAGCCCAUCUAGCUACAGUAAGACAGGAGGAGACACAAGCUAUCACCACUGAUAACCCUGUGAAUUUUAUUAAUAUCAGUAAGCAUGUUGCAACUGCAUUAACUGGUAUUACCAUCAACAAGAAGGUAAAAAUUGGGAGUGUGACCAUCAAAAGGCAACAAGACGUUGUUACUUUAUCACUAAAGGAGCAAGAACUUCCUUCUCCAGAUAAACCUGCAAAAAGUAUCCUUGCUAGCUGUGAAGGUGAUAAGAAAGGUGAAAAAGCUCUUGAGUCGUCUUUAAGUGACAUUUGGACGGAUCCAUGCAUAAAAUUUGCAAUAAAAAAUCUAAUAGCACAAUUCCAGUCAUAAAUGACAAGAAAGUGGAUGCGAAAGCGAUCCCAGGUUCUUGUCCGAAUAUGCCUUGUGUUAAAGCUCCUUCCACUGUGGGUUUACCUUCUAAUGAAAUAUGGGCAGAUCCUUGCUUCAUGUUUGCAGUCAAAACUCUUACUGGUGAAAUAACUUAUGCUCUCAGAAUAUAGUACAACAGCAAUGCACUUCAUCACAAUUCCAAGGAAGUAAUGGCUUAGUAUUACCAAACAUCAGAUUUGAAGAAUUUGCCAAGGCCAAUCUUUCACAUUUUGGGACACCAAAAAAGGCUUUGUGCAAGCAACAACCUGCAGUAGCAGCGCCCAACGCAUAUCAAAAUUGUUGGUUUACAAAAUUUGGUCCUCGUCGGCCUUCACCACUUUGCUGAGAUAGACUAUUAUAGAUUGUAACCUAGCUUAGGAAGUUCAACCUAGCUUGUAGUAGUAUUGUAAUUUGUAACACAGUGCCUAAGUUAGCAUCAGGGUCUUCCACUUUGAACUCAAAUGUUUAAGGCAGCUAGAGCUGCAGUAAAAACUAUGAUGUAAAAGAAUUAUUCACAGCCGAACUGCCUGUUUCCUGUGUAUUUUUCUUGAUUGGGAACACUUAUCGCUA